rnacentral:snRNA from 1 species
CCUAGCUUCGGCUGGAUAUAUACUAAAAUUGGAACGAUGCAGAGAAGAUUAACAUGGCCCAAAAGGGCUUAGAGCCAGGGUCCAAUUGAGAAAUAUUAUUUU